AAAGACACAGGACGCUGAUGUAGCUCGAACUGCACGUCAGCAUCCACGUUCCCCCAGAGCAGGAGGAGCAGCAGCAGCUAAUUGUGGCCGAGUGAAGACAGGGGGACAGCUAAUGGGCUGGUAAUUGGUAAAGAAGGAUGGGUAGUCCCCGUGUCAACACUGCUCGACUUGUGCCGGGCUGUAAACUCUGGCUAACGUGAAGUCCCUGCAUCGCCUGGUCGUGGCUGCUUGUGCAUGUAGCAGCUAGCAAGCUAAGCCUGGAUAACAGACGGCCAGGCGGUGACUUAGUCCGAGUCAAGCCGCUGCCCACACACGCUACGAGGUUAUUUAGUUUGUUAGCUAAGUUAGCACAGAGCCAGACAUCGGGCCUUACCAGCAUUCUGAUCCCGGGGCCAGAGGUAGUAUGUGGCCGGGAUCACAAUGAGUCCCACGAAGGACGUCAGGAAAUAGAAAAAGGUGUUGCCGCUGUCAUCGUACUGGAACUGCUGCCCGGCCAUUUCGUCGCAGGCGCUGGGGUCGCCCUGCUUCUGCUUCUUCUUCUCCGCCGCCGCGCUUCCCCUCCUGGCUCAAUGUGUGCGACUUGACAGACCGUAAGCUAGCCUGCUAGCCAGCUAGCAUCCAGCAGAGACUGUCUGAUCAUCGGUGUACGUGGUUUACGCACGCGCACUGAAGCCUCCCAUCUUCUUCUACUAUGACCGACCCAACGACGUCUGGGAGCCCUACUGACACCUAGCGGCGUAGGAAGACCUGCAGGGAGUAGUCGUGGGAUGUACACCACUUUGCAUGAUUGAUCCUGUCAUACGUGCACUAUAAUUUGCUCCAGAGGCUUGCGUUUCAAAUCCGGCACGGUGGCAUCAGAUGCAGGGUAACCUACGGGCAGCAGCAACAGCAGCUUCUCAUUGGCCGGCCUUUUGAGGAGCAGCCUGAGCCGGGGGCCGCAGUUGAGGGGAGUGGAUGUGACGGUAACGAGACCCACAUUCUGAUGAGCAAAUGGACAGAGACAAAAUGUAGUCAGUUGCUGGGCAGUUCUAUUUUGCCCGCGACAACAGAUGGAGGUUUGAUUCAAUCCUUUACCUGCAGUGCUGCCAGCAGGAUUCCACAGGAUAUGGAGACACUGAUUUCAUUGUAGUAGUGAGUCUUUUUCUUGCCGUUGGGCAGAGUCCCGUAGGUCUGUUUGAAGAUGAGGAUCAGGUAUGGUGCCACAUCCAAAUACUCCUUUACCCAGUUCGUCCUGCAGGAGAAAAGAGGAAAUGGGGAAAUUAGAUGAGGUUCAACUUUACAAUGGUCCUAAUAAUCAUUGGGUAUGAAUUUUGGUACAGAGCUCACUAUGGAGCAAGUGUUGGUGUUCACCUUAUUUUGGCCAAAUCUUGCACCCACUUGUCCCCCAUCCUCUGACGGUAGUUCAUCUCCUCCUCCUCCUCCACCAGCAGUCUGACCUGAUGCUUCAUCUCUGUGUCUGAGACCACAACGAAUGUCCAGGGCUCUGUGUGUGCGCCACUCGGGGCCGUACCUGCCCAGAGGGAAAAGAGGUGCCAAUACACAGAACAAAUUAGAAAUACAUUACAUAGCAGCAACUAACUCACUUAAUGGCGGAUUGACAGUGGUCAGUAUUUUCACAUGCCUGCAGUGCGUAUGACAUUGUCGAUGACCUUUCUUGGGACCGGCUCUGGGCUGAUGAAUCGGACAGACCUCCGCUGGUUCAUCAGAUUGUAGAAAUCUUUGCUUCUCUUCAGAGCUGCUUCCUCGGGAUAACGCGGCAGGGAGAAGGCCACAUGUGGAAGCUCCUCCUCCUCAUGGCUGUCCGCCAAAUCGACAUCCUCUAAAACAAUGUCAGAAAAGAUUCUGAUAUAAAAGUACCAAAUUGGUUACUGUUACAAAGUGCUUUACUAGGACGAAAUUCCACCAGACAAGUAGAUAACGGUAGACAUGAGCAGAGAAAAGAGAAUAAAAUGGAUAAAAUACAUAAAUAGGAUUAUGUGUAUGUUUAAGGAGCAAUUUAAAAGAAGAACUAAUCUGUCCUAAUAGGGAGCAAAAUCCAAAUGGGGGCUCUGAUAUCAAACAUCCCAUCACUGUUUGACAACAAGUGAGUAACCAUCUUGGCUUCAUCCACGGUUUUUAGCAUUCAAGAGCACACCAGGUCAAUAAUUCAGAUAUUUAUUUGGGUGAAAGAGAGGCAACAAAUAUGAGGGCAUCUGCAAAGACUUCUUGGAUUUGUUUUGAUGAGUUAAAGUCAUCUUGAAGAAUGCAAAAAUAAUGGUUGCAGUCUGCCAUAAAACAUUUCCGUGAUAUAAAGCAUUGCUUCUCUGUGCAGCAGCUCAUUACAACCCACAGUUAUCAUUUGUUUUGAGGUUACCUGUGCCAACUAUAGAAAUUAUGAUCAGAGCAAAGGGCGAAGUCCAUGUUGGGAGCAGAUUGGGAUGAACAGGAGGGUGGAGGGAUUCUCCACCCCGAAUUGUGCCAUAAACUGACAUACGAUCCGACCACAGUACUCUGAGUACUCUCACUUCACUGUAUGUAUCUUUGGUGGAAUAGCCCUUCAUUCCACCUGUUCCGACUCCAUAACCUCUGCAUCGUCAGUGACCUCUCCCACCCACUCAUCCUCGCUCCCUUACAUCCUCUCAGCACAUUUCUCUCCGGCAUCAGUGGUGCAAAACUGCCAUCUCCAAUAACACAAUAAUUAAAUUGUUUUCCACCUUGAAAACAAUCGGUCCUCCACCUCCUACAAUUUAAAUGAAUUUGUAUAGCCCCAAAUCACUUACAUUGGAGGAGAGAGACCACAAACAGUUUUCUCACUGUCGUAUUAAAGCUCUGUCAGAUUUUUAUUCAUGCUAAAAUCGUUACAAAUAGGAUGAACACAGUGAGUGCAGCCAUCACAACCAGGCCCUCAGGCCAAGACCAAAUACAUGAAAAGGGCCAAAAGGCCACUAGAGAAGUUACUGUACCAGAAGGGCGAGCAGAAGAUGUGUUCAGUGACAUCAGCAGUGUUUGUGUUGGAGUAUGAAGUGUAGUGUGAGGUGUAGUGGAGUAAAACUAAAGCAAAGGGCUAAACUACAAUGCCACUAUACCUCCGUUGAGAUCCCACAAUCCCCUUAAAUUCAAUCAAGCCCAUGAAGCUCCCCAAAGAUCUUGUUUCAUCGUUGUCAUAUGUGAAAGUGCAUUGAAUAUUACAAGGUUUUAGACGGUUAGCCAAACAAAAGCAACUGUUUCUGCUGCCAAACCAAAGAGAAAGAAAGAGGGGUAGUUAAUGUGUGAUGAGCUCAGACGUUAAUGUGUAAUCAUGUUCAAUAUUUACCAAUGUUUGGCAAUUUGUUUAAUAAAAGACAUCAAAGUUUUAAGAUAAAGCAACAAAACAGAACAUUAAAUCAGGUAUGUCGUGUAAAAUACAUUUUCUAUCAUUGUGAAACUUUGAUGGAACAUAUGUAAACUUGAAUGUAUUUUUUGGACUGAAAAGGAAAGUUCAGCCCUGCCCAGCUUCUUCUCUUACCGUCCUCCGUUGCUGUGAUCUCUGUAUCAUCCUGUAGGUCCUGGUCCACCCAAGGUCUGGACCCCGCUGUGGUUUGUGGCGGAGAGGUCCACGUGGUCUCCUGUGGCUUGAACAGGAGGAAGCCUAUAACCAGGCAAAGGACCACAACCAGAGCCGGCGUGAGGAUGGACAGGAGAGCCAUGACUGCCUGCCUGGCAGAGUGCAGAGAAGA